AAGAAAGACCGCUACUGUCAAAAUACAAACCUCCUUCCACUAAAACUCUCUCUCUGCAGUAAUCUUUCGAUCCCGUUUCUGGGCAAUGGAGAAACCACCGGAAAAAGUGAAGAAAUGGCCCAGAGACCAAACCGGUUUCGAAACCGAUCAAAGCCGGUCGGGAGAAUCACUCGUUUCCUGAAGAGAGGCUCAAAGACUCGCUCCCGGUUUACAUGGCCGCCGUCCUCCACGCUGCUGAAGAAAGAUUGCUGCCAGAGACAAACAAGAAGUCGACGAUCAUUCCCAGGCAUCUUCUUUUGGCGAUUAGGAAGUAGGAACUAUGAAGAGUUUGGGGAAAGUUUUACCAAAUUUCUCCUUUUUUUUCUUUUUUUAAGAGUAAUUUUGUAUUAUAUUUUAUAUAUAUUGAGAGAGGAGAGAGGAGAGAGGAGAGAGGAGAGAGGAGAGAGGAGAGAGGAGAGAGAGAGAGAGAGUGGGAGAGAGAGUGGGAGAGAGAGGGGGAGUGAGAGAGAGAGAGGGUGGGCGGGGAAGAGCGCGGGGCGCGGGGGCAUGGAGCGGAAAAGCGCGGGGGGCGGGGGCAGAUAGCGCGGCGAGACGGGAAAGCGGCCCUCCCACACGAAUAUAUCUGAUUAUAUAAGUGACUAAAAUUAAUAAUAAAUAUACAUAAUUAAAAACGAAUUUCUAUUAAUACUAUUAUAUUUAUAUAUUA